UACGAAGGGGGCUAGCGUUGCUCGGAAUCACUGGGCGUAAAGGGUGCGUAGGCGGGGCUUUAAGUCAGGGGUGAAAUCCUGGAGCUCAACUCCAGAACUGCCUUUGAUACUGAAGAUCUUGAGUUCGGGAGAGGUGAGUGGAACUGCGAGUGUAGGGGUGAAAUUCGUAGAUAUUCGCAAGAACACCAGUGGCGAAGGCGGCUCUCUGGGACGGUACUGACGCUGAGACGCGAAAGCGUGGGGAGCGAACAGG
rnacentral:rRNA from 1 species